CAACUAAAGCCUUUUGAAAGCAAUUGAGGUAGGGCCAGAAGUGUUUCAUAAUAUAAUCUAUAAUCCGCAAUCUUUUCAAUCCAUCUUUGCUUAAUGACGAGUUGAACUGCACUUUAGUCCACCUCUUUCCGCCUCACUCCACAUGAAUACGACCCAUGCUAAUUCUCCCACAGGAACAAAACACAUCCUAACCCGUCACGCAAGCCGCAGGAAGGGACCCCCACGCACGCUGACUCCAUUGAGGAUGUCUCGCUGAGCUAUCAAGAAAUCAAGGCGUCCUGGUGUGAACGUCCUGAUUUGUCUGUACAUAAUGUUGUGGACGUGGUGUUUCCUCUUGCUGGUAAUGUGGUUCGAAUAUAAAGGGAAGUGAAUGUUUGUUCAGUGAGGGGAUUGUGGUUAACAACGGAUCGAUGAUGAGAGGCGAUAAACGACUCUGGGACUUUUAUUUACUUGAUUUUAUUCCGUCACCUCUAAACAUAAUACCUGGCAGAAACAGAAUCUGUUAUUCUAAUUCCCUUCUUCCUUUCUUGUGGCUUCUGUAUGGAAACUGUUCUCUGCUUUGAGUGCUGUGAGUUGAGUAUCGCAAUGGAAAGGAAGCGUUACCGUCAGUAGCUGUAUGGGAGGGAAAGAAGCAGCAAUCGACCUCUUAGUUUUUUUUUUUUUUUUUUUUUUAUGUAAGAAGAACUCUGGCCAAGGACAAGUCUGAAAAAAGACUUGCUGAAGGUGCCAGCCCGUAAAGAGUAGUCAGAAAGAAUUGUUCAGGAUUAUGGGGAAAAGUGUUUUGACUUAGGUUAAGAAAUAUACAGAUUUUCACAUAGAAGUAUACAAGUAGAUUAUCUGGAAUGCACUGAAAGUAGAGAUGACAGCACCAAAAUGUUUGUUAUAUACUCCUCUCUCUCUCUCUCUCUCUCUCUCUCUCUCUCUCUCUCUCUCUCUCUCUCUCUCUCUCUCUCUCUCUCUCUCUCUCUCUCUCUCCACAACUUUUUAUUUACACACACAUUCAUUCCGCCCAUAUGCUGUAACUCCAAAUAACCCCGCCAGACAGAUAGCGGCCGUGGAACAAGUGGCGGCGACUGGAGGUAGUGGCGACACACACACACACACACACACACACACACACACACACACACACACACUGACUCCUGUGCUGUCAUCGUGACGGAGAGACUCCAAGGUUGCCAGAUCAGUGUGAUGAUAAGAACCUCCAGAAGUGUGUGGAGGUAACUCAACUCCAACUUAUAUAGAGCGUUGUGUCAGAUUUCACCUUACCCAUCGUCACCGCUACUGUCACGUGUCGCAGUACUCAUCCGCGUCAUGCCCUUGGGUGGCGUGGUGCUGCUCCUCGCCUCACGAAAUAGCUACAUAGCAUGGUGCCGAGCGUCAGUGAGUGAGGCAGUGCGGGACAUUGGGUGGCGCUGUGGCACUGAGGCGUGGCACCCAUACACCUGCAGCACCGGCAGCCAAACACAAGGCAGGGAGUUCUGUCGCUCCUUGUCACUGCCAGAAGGAAGGCUGAGAUCGUUGCUAAUCUCGAGAAGGGAGCGAGUCUUCCUGUGAGGCAUGGCAAGGAGAGUGCCGGGGAGGGCAGGUGCCUCAACUUUGGAGUGUGAGACGUGUCUGGGUUGGCAGUGUUGAUUUAAGACUUCCAAGCAGAAUAAUCUUGUAUGCAGUUGCCAUGAGUUCUUUAUACUUGUUUUGAGAAUAAGAACACAAGGGAAGCUGCAAUAAGCCAUCAGGCCUACACGUGGCAUUCCUGUAUAAAGCAUAUAUAUAUAUACUAUACCUAUAUCCUCCUAUCAUCACUAUCCAUAAAUAUAAUAUUUCAAAGUUCUCCAUUGACUCGACACUAACAGCUUGAUUACUGAGUCUAUUCCAGUCAUCCACCAGUUAUUUGUGAACCAGCUUCUUCCUAUCUUUUUUUUUUUUUACGUAAGAGAGGUACUGGCCGAGGUCAACAAAAAUUAUGUAAAAAAAGGUUCACUGAGGUACCAGUCCCCAAAGAAAAAGAGCCAAAAAAGAUUAUCCAAAGUUGGAGAAGUGUCUUGAAACCUCCUUUUUAUUUGAAAUCAUAGAAAAGGAGAAAUACAGAAGCAGAUGGGGAGUUCCAGAGUUUAUCAGUGAAACAGAUGAAAAAUUACGAAUGCUGAUUAACUCGUGUAUUAGGGAAGUGGACAGAAAAGGGAUGAGAGAAACUAGAAAGUCUUGUGCAGCGAGGCCGCUGUGGGGAGGGAAGCAUGCUGUUAGCAAGAUCGCAAAAACGGUUAGUGUGAAAAUAGCGGUAGGAGAUAACAACAGAUACAACAUUGUGGAGACGAAAGAGAGGCUAAAGGCAGUCACUUAGAGGAGAGGAGUCGAUGAGACGAAAUGUUUUUGAUUCCACCUUGUUCACCAGAGCAGAAUGAGAGGAAAAUAUAACUUUAUCAAGCUUGAAGCCGAUACUCCCUGUCAUAUUCUGAUUACUGACCGUGAGGAACAAUAACUUCAUCAAGCUUGAACCCGAUACUUCCCGUCCUAUCCUGAUUAUUGACCAUAGGGAUUUU